UGUAUAUUUUGAAAAUUAAUUAAUUUCGAAAUUUGAUUAAACAAAAUAAAAACCUCUCUGGUAUCUUCAGAUAGACAUUGAGUUCUCUGUAUUAUAAUUAUAUACCACCGCCUGGUCUUUGAAUUGCCACCGCUACCCACCCGGCCAGGCUGGCGGGUGGGGGUGGGGUUACAUACAUACUCCCUACAUACAUACUCCCUACAGCCCAUUUGGAAACCAAAACAGAGCUUCUAAAGUAGAAGAAAUUCUUAACAAAUACUGUUCCGUAUAUCCGCAUCCUGCGUUUUGUCCUGCAGGAUAGUGCCCUUACACGAGAAACAACACCAACUUUUUGCCCUGAGCAUUGACUUUACUAGGGAGUGUCCAUGGAUGUAUUACACUCUUAAUAAUUUGGAGACAAAUCGUCACCCCGCCAAGGUAUUAAGUAUGUAUGGUGCUGUAUUUCUUGGUAAUGAUUUGUUACCAAGGGGAACUGAGGCAAAAGUUCGAGUACCAAAUCAGACGCGACGUAGUAAUUUAUAAAAUUCAAUACGUUUAUUUAAACAAAAUCCUGUUUUCGGAUAAAACUGUGCAAUUUUUAAAUAAUGACGUCAAGUCUGUUUGGUACACGAGUAUUUGACUUAUUUCGCGAUGGUGACAAAUCAGUACCAAAAACUAGAGUACCAUACAUACUUAAUACCUUGGCGGGGUAACGAUUUGUCUCCAAAUUAUUUACAGUGUACAUGAUCGAGAUAGACAAAUUUAUUUAGAUUUUUAAAAAUAAGUAGAAAAAAUAAAUAAUUAAUAAACAUUCAUUUUUAAAUUUUGCAUAAACUAUUUAAUAAUUACUUAAUGAAUUUCUGCCAACUUUAAAUUGAAUUCAUUUUGAAAUCUGGUCAAGAAAUUUCCAAUAGCGAAUCAUAUUCCCAUCCCGAUAAUGUAAAUAGCACAAUAAUAAAAAAUGUAUUCACAUACGCAAAUAUGUAAUUAAUUACGUAUGUGCAUACUUCUCAAUAACUGUCCAUCUCAAAGUUUAUAUAAUUCCAAUAAAAUAUUUACACAGUUCUAAUUUA